GCUCCCCCUCUCUCCCCCUCACCCUCUCACUCCUCUCUCUCUCUCCCUCUCCCUCUCUCUUUUAAAAAAUCAGCCAUUUGGGGUUUUAAGCCAUAAACGAUUUUUCUUGUUGCAGGGGAUUGCAGUGGCAAAGCUAGGCUAGGUCUUGGAGGCUGGUGUGAGGCGAAGCGGGCGAAGGCAGGAGGCUGAUGGAGAGACUGGGGGGAAGAAAAACCGAAAUGGAUUCACCGUGCCUUGGAUGGAGGAUGAGAAAGGAACUGCAAGCUCCUUCAACUGCUCUGUCCGGUGAGAAGUGAUCUAGCUUGGGCUGACAAGAGGCUGAGGGAGCCCUCACGUCCUUUCGCUUUUUUACCUGCCAAUCAAACUGCUACAAGACAACACCCUGAUCUGCCAUGGACAUCGCGGGUCCAAGCCUGUAGCCCCAAAUCGGAUAAGCUCUGCAGCUGAUAACAAGCAAAAGAGAGAAGCCAGGCAACAGACAUAAUAAAGAAGAAAACAACUCUGAGGAUGCCACUCUGAAUGUUUUAUUUUCUCCAGGGAAGUAGAGUUCGCUUUGAGAGCUCUAGCCUGUGAACUCCGUAUGUAAAUGUGGUCAUCAAGCAAGACUGAACUACCAAGAGGGAAGAUUUUCAAUGUUUCGCUUUCUUAAAACCCUUCACAGCAUCCUUCCUCCAGUGGAACUUUACUCAAAGUUUCCCCCUUCCCAGAACUGUUGAAAAUGGCUCCAAAGCAACAGUGCAAUAGCUCAACCAAUUGUACUAUGAAGCUGUUGAGAUGACAUUUUAUCAGAAUCUUUUGUAAAAAUUAGAUUUUAAGUAGGGGUGAGAGUCCUUUGGGAAGAGGGGACAAGAGAGAGUAGAAGUGGGAGGGGGAACCAAGCUGUUCAUAUAAGUAUAUAUACUCUUUGUGUGUGAAGGCCUCUGUGUCUUGGCUUCUCACUAUGUUAAAUCCCUAUUAUAAAACUUAUCUUCACAAAGCCUAUUAUAGUAUUCUGGGAACAAAUUGGACCAUGAAUAACUGAGUUGGAAGUGUAGAUUAUUUUCUACUCAGGGAAAGUUAGAGAUGACAACAGCUUAACUAAAAGAAUAGUGAUUAAUCUUAAAUAGAUGGAUUUCAAAGUUUCACUCUUGGUAAAGAAUACCUUUGAUAUUUCCCCUCUUCACACUCAAGUUUCCAGUUUCUUUGUGCUAAGAAUUGUCCUAGUGAUUACACCGUCCACCUCAUACAGCACGGCUCUGGCAGUAGAUCGUUUCCUCUCACACUGUUAAUCUGUCGGAGAGGUGGCCAGAAUGACACUCUGCUUCCUAGAGGUUAAAUAUAUGGUUCCAAAGUGAAACCUGUGCUUAGAUGUCAGACUCACGCUUAGGAAUGACAUCUUACACAAUCAUAAUUCUCAAUUAGAUAAAAUUGUUAUUUUUUUUAAUCUUAAAUUUUUUUACUGCCCUAUAGCUUAUAAAGCACUUCUCAGCUCAUAAUUUUGUUGGAUCCAUAGAAUAAUGUUGCAAAGUAAAUAUCCAUCCCAUUUUACCAAUGGAAAAGCUGAGUUAUUUGCAUAUUGUGACCUGGCUGAUAAAAUAAAGAACUGAAACACCAACUCAGAUUUUAUAAAGCUUCUAUUUCAAGUGUUUAACCUAUAACAAGAGUCUUUAAAAUUAUUUUUUUGUGUAUUACAUCCCUGAAAAUGAAGAUUUUGUAUUAAAAAGCAAAAGUCUUUAUAUUUCACAGACAAAAAUGUUAAAAGACACAACUGAAAAAAAUUCUAUUACUUUAAAAGUGAAUUUUGCCAACUAUUGUUUUCCUUUGUGUGUAUGUAUGUAUAUAUAUUCUUUUAUAGUUGAAGAUCUUAAUUUCUAAAAGUCAAAUAUGGCCAGCCCUAUAUACAUUAACUAACCACCUGGAACUUUUUUUUAAAAUAUAUUUUAUUGAUUUUUUUACAGAGAGGAAAGGAGAGAGAUAGAGAGUUAGAAACAUCGAUGAGAG